GACGGGGGGGGCAAGUGUUCUUCGGAAUGACUGGGCGUAAAGGGCACGUAGGCGGUGAAUCGGGUUGAAAGUGAAAGUCGCCAAAAAGUGGCGGAAUGCCCUCGAAACCAAUUCACUUGAGUGAGACAGAGGAGAGUGGAAUUUCGUGUGUAGGGGUGAAAUCCGUAAAUAUACGAAGGAACGCCAAAAGCGAAGGCAGCUCUCUGGGUCCCUACCGACGCUGGGGUGCGAAAGCGUGGGGAGCAAACAGG
rnacentral:rRNA from 1 species